rnacentral:rRNA from 1 species
CAGCCGCCGCGGUAAUACGAAGGGGGCUAGCGUUGUUCGGAUUUACUGGGCGUAAAGGGCGCGUAGGCGGACUGAUAAGUCAGGGGUGAAAUCCCAAGGCUCAACCUUGGAACUGCCUUUGAUACUGUUUGUCUUGAGUUCGAGAGAGGUAAGUGGAACUGCGAGUGUAGAGGUGAAAUUCGUAGAUAUUCGCAAGAACACCAGUGGCGAAGGCGGCUUACUGGCUCGAAGCUGACGCUGAGGCGCGAAAGCGUGGGGAGCAAACAGGAUUAGAGACCCCCGUAGUCCCUGUCUCUUAUAC